rnacentral:rRNA from 1 species
CAUUACCGAACCGUCGACACGAGCUGUUGCUGGCCCUCGUAAGGGGGCACGUGCACGCUCUGUUAACACAUCCACUCACACCUGUGCACCCUCUGUAGUUCUGUGGCCUUGGGGACCCUGUCCCCUUGCCGCGGUCCUACGUUUUUACACACACACCGUAACAAAGUCUCAUGGAGUGUAUGUCGCGUUUAACGCAAUACAAUACAACUUUCAGCAACGGAUCUCUUGGCUCUCGCAUCGAUGAAGAACGCAGCGAAAUGCGAUAAGUAAUGUGAAUUGCAGAAUUCAGUGAAUCAUCGAAUCUUUGAACGCACCUUGCGCCCUUUGGCUAUUCUGAAGGGCAUGCCUGUUUGAGUAUCAUGAACACCUCAACUCUCAUGGUCCGCCAUGAUGAGCUUGGACUUUGGGGGUCUUGCCGGCCCAGCGUCGGCUCCUCUCAAAUGGAUCAGCUCGCCAGUGUUUGGUGGCGUCACAGGUGUGAUAACUAUCUACGCUUGUGGUUCCUGCCAUGUAACCUUCAGUGAUGGAGGUUCGCUGGAGCUCACAGAUGUCUCUCCUCAGGGAUGACAGCUUUUGAACGUUGUCUCAA